CCUAUGUUAACAGGAUCACUACAAUGACUCAAGCUGUCAUCAUUACAUUUAUAGUCUCGAAUCUGUGGCUUCAAGUUCACUGCCAGGAUGUGACCCAGUACCCUGAAAUCAGAUGGAGUUAUUUGGAUAAAUCUGCAGAGAUGAACUGCAGCCACAAGAAAGAUAUUACUUAUACCCGGAUGAACUGGUACAGGCAGCGUCCAGGGGAGACCAUGACCCUCAUUGUCUACACAGCUUUCGGUGGACAGCCAGACUACAGCGGGGGCCCUCAAACCAAAUACUCAGCCAUCAAAGAGACCAUAGAGAGCGGGGCUCUUACUGUAAAAGACUUGAAGCUUGACGACAGCGGUGUGUAUUUUUGUGCUGUCAGCAAACACAGUGAUGUGAGAAGCUGA